GGUUCCUGAGCAAAAACAGUUCCACAGAAAUGUUUGCCUUUGCCUGAGGCUGGAAGAACCCAAACCACUUUUCCCAGCAAGCUCUUUACAGCAACAAGGUUAUAACAUGGAGACAUCAAUAUCCUUCCUGCCCCUGAACUUGGAUGCCACCUGCAUUCUCCAGUGUGAGGAGACAAGCCUAGUGGACAAGAAUAUUACCUCUCCCCAGAAACACCAGUGAGUCUAUACCAAGGAGGUGAGAACAAAACAACUUGAUUUCAAGAACAGUGAUGGACAAAAAUACCUCUAGGCUAAAAACCUUUGAUCAGACAAGUAGCAGGGGACCAGAC